UACGGGGGGGGCAAGCGUUGUUCGGAAUUACUGGGCGUAAAGGGUUUGUAGGUGGCCUGCUAAGUCAGACGUGAAAUCCCUCAGCUUAACUGGGGAACUGCGUCUGAGACUGGUAGGCUCGAGGACAGGAGAGGAACGCGGAAUUCCAGGUGUAGCGGUGAAAUGCGUAGAUAUCUGGAGGAACACCGGUGGCGAAGGCGGCAUCCUGGACCGAUACUGACGCUGAGGAGCGAAAGCCAGGGGAGCAAACGGG
rnacentral:rRNA from 1 species